rnacentral:rRNA from 1 species
AACAAACGCUGGCGGCGUGCCUAAUACAUGCAAGUCGAACGGGUAGCAAUACCAGUGGCGCACGGGUGAGGAAUACAUAGAUAAUCUGCCUUCGAGUCGGGGAUAACCAGUCGAAAGCUUGGCUAAUACCGGAUAAGACCACAAGAUCUGCGGAUCAAGGGGUUAAAGGUUUUACGCUUGAAGAUGAGUCUAUGCGAGAUUAGAUAGUUGGUGAGGUAAUGGCUCACCAAGGCGACAAUCUCUAACUGGUCUUAGAGGAUGAUCAGUCACACUGGAACUGAGACACGGUCCAGACUCCUACGGGAGGCAGCAGUAGGGAAUAUUGCGCAAUGGGGGAAACCCUGACGCAGCGACGCCGCGUGAGUGAUGAAGGCCUUCGGGUCGUAAAGCUCUGUCGUAUGGGAAUAACACAAUGAAUGUACCAUGCAAGAAAGGAUCGGCUAACUUCGUGCCAGCCGCCGCGGUAAAAC